rnacentral:rRNA from 1 species
GACGAACGCUGGCGGCGUGCCUAAUACAUGCAAGUAGAACGCUGAAGGAAGGAGCUUGCUCUUUCUGGAUGAGUUGCGAACGGGUGAGUAACGCGUAGGUAACCUGCCUGGUAGCGAGGGAUAACUAUUGGAAACGAUAGCUAAUACCGCAUAAAAUUGAUUAUUGCAUGAUAGUCAAUUAAAAGGUGCAACUGCACCACUACCAGAUGGACCUGCGUUGUAUUAGCUAGUUGGUGGGGUAACGGCUCACCAAGGCGACGAUACAUAGCCGACCUGAGAGGGUGAUCGGCCACACUGGGACUGAGACACGGCCCAGACUCCUACGGGAGGCAGCAGUAGGGAAUCUUCGGCAAUGGACGGAAGUCUGACCGAGCAACGCCGCGUGAGUGAAGAAGGUUUUCGGAUCGUAAAGCUCUGUUGCAAGAGAAGAACGAGUGUGAGAGUGGAAAGUUCACACUGUGACGGUAUCUUACCAGAAAGGGACGGCUAACUACGUG